rnacentral:rRNA from 1 species
UNUGACUUGAGUGCAGAAGGGGAGAGUGGAAUUCCAUGUGUAGCGGUGAAAUGCGUAGAUAUAUGGAGGAACACCAGUGGCGAAAGCGGCUNUCUGGUCUGUCACUGACGCUGAGGCUCGAAAGCGUGGGUAGCGAACAGGAUUAGAUACCCUGGUAGUNCACGCCGUAAACGAUGAGUGCUAGGUGUUAGGCCCNUUCCGGGGCUUAGUGCCGGAGCUAACGCAAUAAGCACUCCGCCUGGGGAGUACGACCGCAAGGUUGAAACUCAAAGGAAUUGACGGGGGCCCGCACAAGCGGUGGAGCAUGUGGUUUAAUUCGAAGCAACGCGAAGAACCUUACCAGGUCUUGACAUCCCGAUGCUAUUCUUAGAGAUAGGAAGUUACUUCGGUACAUCGGAGACAGGUGGUGCAUGGUUGUCGUCAGCUCGUGUCGUGAGAUGUUGGGUUAAGUCCCGCAACGAGCGCAACCCUUAUUGUUAGUUGCCAUCAUUAAGUUGGGCACUCUAGCGAGACUGCCGGUAAUAAACCGGAGGAAGGUGGGGAUGACGUCAAAUCAUCAUGCCCCUUAUGACCUGGGCUACACACGUGCUACAAUGGUCGGUACAACGAGUUGCGAGCCGGUGGCGGCAAGCUAAUCUCUGAAAGCCGAACUCAGUUCGGAUUGGAGGCUGCAACUCGCCUCCAUGAGGUCGGAAUCGCUAGUAAUCGCGGAUCAGCACGCCGCGGUGAAUACGUUCCCGGGCCUUGUACACACCGCCCGUCACACCACGAGAGUUUGUAACACCCGAAGUCGGUGAGGUAACCUUUUAGGGGCCAGCCGCCUAA